AUCCCAAAGGAAUAAAGAAGCCACCUGGCCUAAGACCACAGGAGUCUCAGAAACCACACUCUACUUAGGAGGAUGCUGGUGGCUUUUUAGUGGAUGUCUGCAAACGAGGAAGCUUAUGAAACCAAGGCCUCUUUUUAAGGAAAGGGGAAGUUGGUUCUAUUUUAAAAUCUAUCUUCCUUAUUAGUUACAAAGAUUGUUUUCACUGAAUAUGCCCUGAAAUGGGAAGAAGGUGAGAAGAGGAGAAAUGGAGGGCAGAAGUGGUUGUCUAAGUAAACCAAAAAAAAUUUCCAAAUAAGAAUUUCAGAGAAUAAGUUACCAUCGUCUGUUCUUUUCCCUCAAUAGGAAUGUUCAUUUUUCAUUGUCUGCUAGGAAAAGUCUCAGUGAAUCUGUUUCAUUCACUGUAAAUGACUGGUGGUAAUCACAACGUGGAUGUUUGCUGGGUCUGUUGGUUUUAUGCGAAGGUGAACAGUAAUCUCUGGUGUGGUGGUGGAUUGCCACUGGGAUGUGCACAUGCCUAUUUAUGGCAUUUGUAGUUUCUGUUGGCAAGGACACUUUUUUUUUUUCUUUUUAACCUUCCUGGGAAUUAAGAUCAUCUAAUGAGAAACUUUGGAGCCAGACUGCCUAAGUUUGAAUACUAACAUUACCACUGUAAUGACACUGGGCAAGUUCGUUAACUUUACAAAUUCUUUUUUUUUUAAUCUAUAAAAUAAGGUUAGUAAUAUCAAAUUUAUAACAUAUUAGGAGAUACUGGGAUGUAAAGUGCCUGGCAUGUAUGGAUGAUUAACAGAUAUUAGUGUCAAAAGAUGCACUGAUUUCAUUUCCCAUCGGUUUUUACCUCUCUGGGGGACUGUGGCUGGAUGUAGGUCUUAUAAAGCUUCUUUGCCAUAGAAACUCUGCUCCACCGUGAGGCAAUUUUCUUAUAGGUUUCACAUGCCUUCCAGAAUUUAAUGUUCUCAUCACUGUGCUCCAUUUUUAAGUAUGCUGCAUAGACUACUGGACCAUCUAAAAGUAGUAGAGAAAUCAGUUUAUUUUUAUAGUUAAAAUUAUCAGAAAGUCUGAACAAUAUUUAAAAUGCAGCUUAAAACAAAAGUCUGAAUAUAAUCUCCCUAAUUAUUUAUCAAGCUUAAAACAAAAGUCUGAAUAAAAUCUCCCUAAUUAUUUAUCAAGUGAGUGUUUCAUAUCCAUAUCUGUAUCUAUCACACUCUUAAAUCUAUACAUCUGAGGCACAUUCAAACAAUCCAGUCAUCGGUGAGGUUAUCUCUUCAUUCUGAGUCACUCAGAGGAAAUUUCUCACCACUGUGGAUGGGUCUAUGACACAUAGGACAGGAGAUGUCACAGGGACCUAGAAAAAAGGCUUAAGCUGGGCAGGUAGGAAGAGCUCUGAUCAUGAUAAGAGAAAGCUAAGAACUCAAGCCAAACCGGUGGGUAAGAGCAGAGUGUAGAUUCUAAAAAGACAGGGCAGGGUUGGAAGAAAACUAUUCAAGCCAUGUGGAAGUGAUAUUCUUAUCAGGUUGUACAGCCUGAAGUGUUUCUGAAUAGGCAGUCAGUGCAGGAGAACACAGAUGAAAAUUAAGCUUCUUAUUCAUGGUUUAUGGUUCACAUCAGAAAUAGGGACCAGGCAAGGAAUGGAAUUCAGAUAGGAUAUUGGAAACUAUCUUGGAAUCUAGUACAGGGCAGUGAUUAUGUGGAGCAUGAUCAUCAAAUGACACUUGAUGUCAAGAUAGUUAUCCUCAGGUCUGGUCUUAAACUGCCUUUCUGGAAUGAGUAUAUAAGGACAAAGGUUGCAUGAGCUUUUCUUGAUUGUGGCACUAUUUUCUAGGAACUUCUGUUUGAAGAAGACAGCUUUCAAAAAUCUAACACAUGAAUCAGAAUUUUUGGGAAGACCAAGUACUCUCAAGGUUCACCAUGAAUACUUCGAGAUUAAUAUUAAACUUCUUUUGGUGUCUAUGAAGUCUGUUGACAUGCCUGAGCAAUCAAAUUGUUAAAUGACAAAACAACAAAGUAACUUUCUUUUCUUUUUCUUUUUCUUUUUUUGAUAUGGGGAAUUGAACCCAGGGAUGCUUAACCACUGAGCCACAUUUCCAGCCCUUUUUGAGAUGGGUCUUGUUAAAUUGCCUAGGGCCUGACUAAGUUGCUGAGGCUGGCUUUGAAUUUGCAACCAUAUAUACCACAUAAAAUAUAGUUAGCAUAGAUGCUUGAUGUGACAGCUUGCAGUAUUAUUCUCAGUUUUUCCCUUCCCUUCCUGCCUCAGCCUUCAGAAUUAUCUCAUCCUCUGGGAUUACAGGCAGAUGCCACUGCACCCAGCCAAAGUAACUUUUGAUAGAAAUGUGUGUAUAGACACGCUGAAUCCAUGACCAUUUAGACCCUGACUGCUAUCAUAGGAUUCUUUUUUUUUCCUAUUACAAAAAUCUGUGCAUAAUUUAAUGUGUACAACCUGAUGUGUUUGAAGUUAAGUGUAUACCUAUGAAACUGUCACCAUAAUCAAAGCCAUAAACAUAUCCAGAAAGUGAAAAGGGAUUUUGAUUAAUAAAACAUUGGUCAGUAGCAUUAACUAUUUGAAAAGUAAGCAUAAUUAAAUGGAAUGGAAAUAAUGAGUAAUCUAAUCAUGUUUUCCUCUAAGAGCUUAGAUCAAAUUUUCUAACACGAGAAAGUCAGACUUUUUGACUUCUUGGUUUCUAAUUACUCUGUCAGAAAUGAUACAGGAAUAAAGAUAACAAAGUAAUUUGUAUUCAAGAAAAAAAAAACUCAAAUAGAGGUAUAUACCUUCUAUGGAGGCAGUAUGGUUAUGGAAAGUUGGUAAUCUGCAAGAAAUAUAACAUCCUAAUAAUACACAAACUUAGACCAUGGCUUAAUAUUGUCAUGUGAGCAUAUGCAGCCUUCCUGAAAUUGGGCAGUAAGUUAUUUGACAGGAAUAUUACCUCAAUAUGGAGGACAUAUGAGAUGGGAGCAGAGCAUAUAUAGGUAUGUGACAUAGGAAAUGACAUAGACUAGAUGUUCCUGCCGAAAGGGGGAAUAUAUUUAAACUUAGAUUUCAAACAAAAAAUUUAUUUUCAUGCUAAAGUGACUUUAAAUUGUACCUUGCCUUACCAUAGGCACAGGAAAUGGAGCAGAGAACACAUGUAGCAACUGACCCUCCUAUUAAGGAAAUAGGCGAAUGAGUGGGAAAAGCAAAACAAACAAACAAACAAAUAAAAAAAACAACCAAAAAUUUAUUUCUGGUUUAACAUGUUAAGUUCAAGCUAGUGUUUUUCAGAAUAUAUUGAAAGAAACAGCUGUAUUUAAAAAUGAAUAAGCAUAUAGUUUGUAAUAAGAGAAAGUUUGACUUAAUGCUUAGUUAGGAACAGAAAAUAAGGUCCUUAAAAUAAAAAUUAAGAAAUGAGCUAGUGAAUAGGAAAAGAAAGAGCAUAUGUGAGACAGACAGAGAGACAAACAGACACCUGGUAAAAAUCCAUAGAUCAUGGAAUGAGAGUCAGCCAUAGUUCCUAGAGUGAUAAGUGGGUGGGGUGGAAAGAUGAUCUGGAAACCCCUAUUAGAUUCCACAUUGUAAUAUUCAGAUUUGUGUUUAUGUUUUGCUUGAUUUUGUAUUAAAAUGUUUAUGGAUUGUCAUUUUAGAGCCCACCUGCAUUUACACCUGCCUUCCUCGCUUCCCUCCUGAUGGAGAAGAAUGAGUUUCUGCUUCUUUUGAGGUUUGCCUAAUGUUUCCACAAUUCUCAAGACCUUUGCUAAUGAAGUAAUCUAUGUGUUGCUCUAUAUAGUUUUUAUGUUUUCUGAGUGAUCAUUUCCAUAUAUACUAUAUAAAAUAUAGUUAGCAUAGAUGCUUGAUGUGACAGCUUGCAGUAUUAUUCUCAGUUUUUCCCUGCCCUUCCUCUAAAGGCAUUAUAUUUCCCUAUCCCAUUUACAUCUGCACUGGCCAUUGAACUUGUGCUAGUCAAUAAAAUACAUGCAAAAGUGCUGUGUGUAGUUCCGAGAGAAUGGUUUAAGAACCCUCAUGUGGUUGGUUCUGCUUCUCCCUUCCUUAUGAAGAGAAUGUAUCCUAGAAAAAAAGCUGCUCAUUUAGCCUAAAGGCUGGAAUGAGGACAGAGAAAAGAGUGAGAGCUGACCUUAGUUGCUGUGUAUCAUGAGCAAGGAAGGGACCUUUCUUACUGUAACUCAUCGGGAUUUUAAUGUCAUUUGUUACUCUAUCAUAACUUAGCAGAAGCUGACCUGGAUGACUCGAACCCAUCUGAUAUUUCAGAUGUGAUUCUGAUGCGUGGAAUGAGUAGACUUAUGUGAUUGGUAUGUUUUGCAGAAUUCUGUAUACAUUAGGUUAAUUUUUGUCUGAGUAUGCUACAUGUUAUCCAAACAAGCCGCUGAGAGUGCAUUUAUGUAAAACUGUUUCAGGAAUCAUAGUAAAUAUUAAAUUCAUACUUAAAUUACCAGUUUAGAAUUUGGUUGAUGCAUGUACCACAUGAAUCAUAAUGUAAAAAAGUCUUUCCCAAAUCAGACAAUCGAACCCAAUGUGGCCCAUUCUGAAUCUUUAAAUUACAAUCAUUCCUGAGCACUAUGCUCAGGAGACCAUGAUUCUGCUGCAGAAGAGUGAUUCAAGGCUAAGCAACAGAAUUGCUCACUUAAGUUGAGAGGGUGGCAGAAAUAGGUUUAUGGCAUAUGUGGGGUAUACCUUUUCCUUGAAGAAUCAGAGUGUUGCUUUUGGAAAUCUCUAACUUGCCCUUUUAAAAGUAGUCACUAAAAUUAGUACUCCUAUGACACACAAGAUGACACAUGACAUCGUUUCUUGAUGCAGUAGAAAAACAUGGAAUUUCUUUCUUUUUUUAAGUUGUUGAUGAACCUUUAUUUUUAUUUAUUUAUAUGUGGUGCUAAGAAUUGAACCCAGUGCCUCACACUUGCUAGGCAAGUGCUUUACCACUGAGCCACAACCCCAGCCCAUGGAAUUUCUUGACUGAAUCAGAAUGGUGGUCUAUCUUAUUCCAGGAUCAUGUUUUUCUGUAAGAUGUCAAGUCUUGUACCAUGUAUUAAGUCCUAAAAGUGAGCUAUGUCCAUUAGAAAUAUGUCCAAACCAAUUUUAAAUUCACCUUUUAAUUUUAAAUCUGUAUCACUGGAGAUAUAAUAAAUUCCAUAAUUCUACCAGAAUCUGUGUGAAGUUUUAUAGUAAAUCUUCCUGUUUUAUUAAAAUUUUCUGGUUUGGUUUCUAGGAUAUUAAUCAUUUCUAAUCUUGCUCCUACUUUUUCUUUGCUGUGUUAUUAUAAAAGUAGUUUAAAAUGCUAUGUUAUUAACACAGAAAAUAUCUAAUAAAG
rnacentral:lncRNA from 1 species